AGUGAACGCUGGCGGUAGGCCUAACACAUGCAAGUCGAACGGCAGCACAGGAGAGCUUGCUCUCUGGGUGGCGAGUGGCGGACGGGUGAGGAAUACAUCGGAAUCUACUUUUUCGUGGGGGAUAACGUAGGGAAACUUACGCUAAUACCGCAUACGACCUACGGGUGAAAGCAGGGGACCUUCGGGCCUUGCGCGAUUGAAUGAGCCGAUGUCGGAUUAGCUAGUUGGCGGGGUAAAGGCCCACCAAGGCGACGAUCCGUAGCUGGUCUGCGAGGAUGAUCAGCCACACUGGAACUGAGACACGGUCCAGACUCCUACGGGAGGCAGCAGUGGGGAAUAUUGGACAAUGGGCGCAAGCCUGAUCCAGCCAUACCGCGUGGGUGAAGAAGGCCUUCGGGUUGUAAAGCCCUUUUGUGGGGAAAGAAAUCCAGCUGGCUAAUACCCGGUUGGGAUGACGGUACCCAAAGAAUAAGCACCGGCUAACUUCGUGCCAGCAGCCGCCGUAA
rnacentral:rRNA from 1 species